UUAAAUUGCUGUGGUAUUUUGACUAUACAAAGGUAUUGAAAUAAGACUUUAAUUGAGUGCUAAGAGAAUGGAAUUACAGAAAAAAGCUUUUUUAAAUUUAAUAAUUAAAGUUAUUUUUAUUUGUGAAGAAACAAUAAUUAAAAUUAAGGACAAGAAGACCCUAUGAAUUUUUCUGAAAUAUAUUUCAUUUAAAUUUCUUUAAUUGGGGCGAUUAAUUAAUAUUUUGAACUUUUUUGCAAAAAUAUGAACCGUUUAAUAGCGGUAAAUUGUAAAAAUACUCUAGGGAUAACAGCGUAAUAAUUUUUGAUAGUUCAUAUUGACAAAAUAGUUUGCGACCUCGAUGUUGGAUUAGGAUGUUUUUUUGGCGAAAAAGUUAAAAAAAA
rnacentral:rRNA from 1 species